rnacentral:rRNA from 1 species
GACGAACGCUGGCGGCGUGCCUAAUACAUGCAAGUCGAGCGAAUCAAUAGGAGCGCAGCUCUUUUGGUUAGCGGCGGACGGGUGAGUAACACGUGGGCAACCUGCGUGUAAGACUGGGAUAACUUCGGGAAACCGGAGCUAAUACCGGAUAAUCCUUUUCCACUCAUGUGGAAAAGCUGAAAGUCGGUUUCGGCUGACACUUACAGAUGGGCCCGCGGCGCAUUAGCUAGUUGGUGAGGUAACGGCUCACCAAGGCGACGAUGCGUAGCCGACCUGAGAGGGUGGUCGGCCACACUGGGACUGAGACACGGCCCAGACUCCUACGGGAGGCAGCAGUCGCGAAUUUUUCACAAUGGGCGCAAGCCUGAUGAAGCCACGCCGUGUGCGGGAUGAAGGCUCUCUGAGUUGUAAACCGCUGUCAAGUGGAGGGAAACGCGUGGUGUUAACAGCAUCACGUUUGACUGUCCGCUAAAGGAAGCCCCGGCAAAACAUGUGCCAGCCGCCGCCGUAAUAC